rnacentral:lncRNA from 1 species
UUAUAAGGCAAUGGUGAUAGCAAUGAAAAUUUUUUCCACCCCACCAGUCCUGGGAAAAAUUGGCACUUGACAAAGACUUUGAGUCCAUAUUUACAGCUUACUUGCACUGUUACAAAUUGUCUUUCAUUUCGUUUUCUCCAGGUAAAGAAGGUCCUUCCGAGGAUCCAACCAUAUCCAGUGAGUGUAUAUCUUCAUCUGAGUCUCGGGGAAAAUGUUUCCUGCCACAGAACAUGACACCAGAUCUGACGCUGACCUUCUGUGUGAAGAGCCGCUCCAGGAGGUGUGUCAACGGAGCUCUGCAGGAAGCUGCGCGCAGGCGGCUCUGGACGCUGGAGAACGAGGACCAGGACGCGAGGGCACUGUUUAAGAUUCGGACAGAGUGCAUCCUCAGCAGCACCUCAUUUUGGCUGGAUUCAGGCAUGGGCUAGCUCUCCAGGCGAGUGUCCCCAGGUCAGUGCACCACUAGGGUCAGGAUUUUGGCCUUGGCCGCCACAGCCCUGUUGCUCUGGAGAGUGAAGUGAGGCUUGCAGUGGUUCUGGUUGGGGCCCCGCAAGCAUAGACUGACUGAUUCAUUUCUGUAUUUAUUUAUUUUUUGCUCUACUAGAGAUUAAACCCAAGGUCUUCACACUGAGUUACAUCCCAGUCAUUUUUUUUUUUUUUUAAUUUGAGACAAGGUCUUACUAAGUUGCUAAGUUGCCCAGGCUGGACUCAUAUUUGUGAUCCUCCUGCUUCAGCCUUGCAGAAUGCUGGGAGCCUGGCCAUGUAUAGUUUUUUAAAAAAAAUUUAUUUAUUUAUUUAUUUUU